CACGGGGGGAGCAAGCGUUGUUCGGAAUCACUGGGCGUAAAGGGCGUGCAGGCGGUCAGGUAAGUGGGAUGUGAAAUGCCCCGGCUCACCCGGGGACCGGCAUCUCAUACUGCUUGGCUUGAGUACGGGAGAGGAUGUGGGAAUUCCUGGUGUAGCGGUGAAAUGCGUAGAUAUCUGGAGGAACACCGGUGGCGAAGGCGACAUCCUGGACCGGUAUUGACGCUGAGGCGCGAAAGCCAGGGGAGCAAACGGG
rnacentral:rRNA from 1 species